GAUAAACGCUGGCGGCGCACAUAAGACAUGCAAGUUGAACGGACUUAAUCGAAAUAUUUCUAUUUUGAAGCGGUUAGUGGCGGACUGGUGAGUAACGCGUAAGGAACCUGCCUAUUAGAGGGGAAUAACAGUGAGAAAUCAUUGCUAAUACCGCAUAUGCCAUAGAUAUCACAUGAUAACAGUGGGAAAGGAGCAAUCCGCUAAUAGAUGGCCUUGCGUCUGAUUAGAUAGUUGGUGGGGUAACGGCCUACCAAGUCGACGAUCAGUAGCCGGACUGAGAGGUUGAACGGCCACAUUGGGAAUGAGAUACGGCCCAGACUCCUACGGGAGGCAGCAGUCGGGAAUAUUGCGAAAUGGAGGAAAAUCUGACGCAGGGACGCCGCGUAUAGGAAGAAGGUUUUCGGAUUGUAAACUAUUGUCGUUAGGGAAGAGAAAGGACAGUACCUAAGGAGGAAGCUCCGGCUAACUACGUG
rnacentral:rRNA from 1 species